CGUCGGAGCUACAAGGAUCGUCGCCCAAUAUUGUCAAGUAUUUCAUUGAAAGUUUUACGUCUUACACCAUUAAUUUAUUUUGUUUUUUAUGUGUUUACGAGGGCGCCAUCGUCGCCGAAGAGGAACAUUGGGCAGCGUGGUUCGCCGUGGGAGUCACCGGUAUUGUCACACAAAAUCGUCAGGAGGCCCGCAUCACCAUCUGAGAGGAUGCUGGACAUCGAGGAUCGCCGGUGGAGCAACGAGAUUGUCGCAAUGGAUGUUUCAGGUAUAUUUCUUUACAUGUUUAUUUGCCUAACCAUAUUUUUUUUAUGUAUUUAGGAGGGAUCCGUCGUCGCUGAAUAGGACUACCGGACGUCGUGGAGUGUCGUUGGAGCAACGGAAAUCGCCGCCUAUUCCGUCGGACACGCCCAUUAGGUCGAUGGGGGGAAAAAAAUAGCAAGAAUGAACAACCCGCUGAACAAGAAACCGGUUCGAGCGAUACGGGUUUGUGGGGCUGAUUGGUCUCAGUUUUACUCAACGAAAUGGAUGUGUUGCAACGCUGUCUCAAACGUCUGCACCGGAGUCCUUACCUCAGUUUUUUCUGAGUGCAGAAAGUUAUUCAAACCAAGGAUACAGAAUAUAAAAGACUUGAAGCGAACGGGAAGAUAUAGCAGAAUUAAACACAAUUCACGAGGACUGGCCGCAGGGUUAAAAUGGUACUGAGGUAUAGUUCAGCAUGCGACUAUACAAUACUAAUAUGUAAAGCCUUGACCACAGAAAACAACGGAAUCUUAGAAAUCCUCCUUGAUCGCGGAAUUCAG